rnacentral:rRNA from 1 species
AUUGAACGCUGGCGGCAUGCCUUACACAUGCAAGUCGAACGGUAACAGGUCUUCGGAUGCUGACGAGUGGCGAACGGGGGAGUAAUACAUCGGAACGUGCCUAGUGGUGGGGGAUAACUACUCGAAAGAGUGGCUAAUACCGCAUGAGAUCUUCGGAUGAAGGCAGGGGAUCGCGAGCCCUUGACCUACUAGCGGGGCCGAUGGCAGAUUAGGUAGUUGGUGGGAUAAAUGCUUACCAAGCCGACGAUCUGUAGCUGGUCUGAGAGGACGAUCAGCCACACUGGGACUGAGACACGGCCCAGACUCCUACGGGAGGCAGCAGUGGGGAAUUUUGGACAAUGGGCGCAAGCCUGAUCCAGCAAUGCCGCGUGCAGGAUGAAGGCCUUCGGGUUGUAAACUGCUUUUGUACGGAACGAAAAGCCCUGGGUUAAUACCCUGGGGUCAUGACGGUACCGUAAGAAUAAGCACCGGCUAACUACGUGCCAGCCGCCGCGGUAAAAC